UGAGCCGCAAGGUAAAAGAUUUAUCGUCAAGAGAGGAGCUCGCGUCCGAUUAGCUAGUUGGUGGGGUAAAAGCCUACCAAGGCGACGAUCUGUAGCCGGUCUGAGAGGACGAACAGCCACACUGGGACUGAGACACGGCCCAGACUCCUACGGGAGGCAGCAGUGGGGAAUAUUGGACAAUGGGCGAAAGCCUGAUCCAGCAAUGCCGCGUGUGUGAAGAAGGCCUGCGGGUUGUAAAGCACUUUCAGUGGGGAAGAAAAGCCUGGGGUGAAUACCCUCGGGUCUUGACGUUACCCACGGAAUCAGCAUCGGCUAACUCCGUGCCAGCAGCCUCGGUAAUACGGAGGAUGCAAGCGUUAUCCGGAAUUAUUGGGCGUAAAGGGUCCGCAGGUGGCCCAUCAAGUCUGCUGUCAAAGACCGAAGCUUAACUUCGGGCAGGCGGUGGAAACUGGUGAGCUAGAGUACGGUAGGGGUAGAGGGAAUUUCCAGUGUAGCGGUGAAAUGCGUAGAGAUUGGAAAGAACACCAGUGGCGAAGGCGCUCUACUGGACCUGUACUGACACUGAGGGACGAAAGCUAGGGGAGCGAAAGGGAUUAGAUACCCCUGUAGUCCUAGCUGUAAACGAUGGAUACUAGGCGUUGCUUGUAUCGACCCGAGCAGUGCCGUAGCUAACGCGUUAAGUAUCCCGCCUGGGGAGUACGCACGCAAGUGUGAAACUCAAAGGAAUUGACGGGGGCCCGCACAAGCGGUGGAGUAUGUGGUUUAAUUCGAUGCAACGCGAAGAACCUUACCAGGACUUGACAUCCCACGAAUCUUGGAGAGAUCCGAGAGUGCCUUAGGGAACGUGGAGACAGGUGGUGCAUGGCUGUCGUCAGCUCGUGUCGUGAGAUGUUGGGUUAAGUCCCGCAACGAGCGCAACCCUCGUCCUCAGUUGCCAGCAUUAAGUUGGGCACUUUGGGGAGACUGCCGGUGACAAACCGGAGGAAGGUGGGGAUGACGUCAAGUCAGCAUGCCCCUUACGUCCUGGGCUACACACGUACUACAAUGGUUGGGACAAAGGGCAGCGAGCGAGCGAUCGUCAGCGAAUCUCAUCAAACCCAGCCUCAGUUCAGAUUGCAGGCUGCAACUCGCCUGCAUGAAGGAGGAAUCGCUAGUAAUCGCAGGUCAGCAUACUACGGUGAAUCCGUUCCCGGGCCUUGUACACACCGCCCGUCACACCAUGGAAGCUGGCCACGCCCGAAGUCGUUACCCUAACCGUUCGCGGAGGGGGAUGCCGAAGGCAGGGCUGGUGACUAGGGUGAAGG
rnacentral:rRNA from 1 species